GACGUAGGAUGCGAGCGUUAUUCGGAUUUAUUGGGCGUAAAGCGUGCGUAGGCGGCUGUUUAAGUCUGGUGUUAAAGCUAGGGGCUCAACCCCUGUGGUGCACUGGAAACUGGGCAGCUUGAGUGCGGUAGGGGAAGGUGGAAUUCCGAGUGUAGCGGUGAAAUGCGUAGAUAUCAUUUGGAACGCCAAUGGUGAAAACAGGUAGCUGGGGGGGUGCUGACGCUGAGACACGAAAGCCAGGGGAGCAAACGGG
rnacentral:rRNA from 1 species